AGUGCCAGCAGCCGCGGUAAUACGGGAGUGGCAAGCGUUAUCCGGAAUUAUUGGGCGUAAAGCGUCCGCAGGCGGCCCAGAAAGUCUGCUGUUAAAACGUGGAGCUUAACUCCAUCAUGGCAGUGGAAACUACUGGGCUUGAGUGUGGUAGGGGCAGAGGGAAUUCCCGGUGUAGCGGUGAAAUGCGUAGAUAUCGGGAAGAACACCAGUGGCGAAGGCGCUCUGCUGGGCCAUAACUGACGCUCAUGGACGAAAGCCAGGGGAGCGAAAGGGAUUAGAUACCCCUGUAGUCCUGGCCGUAAACGAUGAACACUAGGUGUCGGGGGAAUCGACCCCCUCGGUGUCGUAGCCAACGCGUUAAGUGUUCCGCCUGGGGAGUACGCACGCAAGUGUGAAACUCAAAGGAAUUGACGGGGGCCCGCACAAGCGGUGGAGUAUGUGGUUUAAUUCGAUGCAACGCGAAGAACCUUACCAGGGUUUGACAUCCUGCGAACCUCUUGGAAACGAGAGGGUGCCUUCGGGAACGCAGUGACAGGUGGUGCAUGGCUAUCGUCAGCUCGUGUCGUGAGAUGGUUGGGUUAAGUCCCGCAACGAGCGCAACCCACGUCUUUAGUUGCCAGCAUUUAGUUGGGCACUCUAGAGAGACCGCCGGUGAUAAGCCGGAGGGAAGGUGGGGAUGACGUCAAGUCAUCAUGCCCCUUACAUCCUGGGCUACCCACGUACUAAAUGCUACGGACAAGGGCAGCAGUCGCGAGGACAGCAAUCCCAUAGCCGUGGCUCAGUCAGAUCGUAGCUGCACUCGCCUACGUGAGGAGAUCGCUAGUAUCGCAGUCAGCAUACUGCGGUGAAUACGUCCGGGCUUGACACCCGCCCGUCAACAUGAGUGCAGCCGAGCGUUACUCACCUUGGGGAGAGGAGUCAGGGGGUCUUAUAUGUGAUCUUACAGUACGGCGCUCGACAGGGAUCGGAUUCUCAUGGGGCGCUGGAUGCUAAGGCCAUUCCUAGGGCUAUUAUCGGGCCGCUAACCGCGUGGACCGGUACCCAUCCUGAAACCUGCUCCGUGACAGAAGAGCCCCUAGU
rnacentral:rRNA from 1 species